UACGGAGGAUCCGAGCGUUAUCCGGAUUUAUUGGGUUUAAAGGGUGCGCAGGCGGGAGAUUAAGUCGGCGGUGAAAUUUUGCAGCUCAACUGUAAAAGUGCCUUCGAAACUGGUUUCCUUGAGCGUAGAUGAAGUAGGCGGAAUUUGUGGUGUAGCGGUGAAAUGCUUAGAGAUCACGAGGAACUCCGAUUGCGCAGGCAGCUUACUAAACUACUACUGACGCUCAGGCACGAAGGCGUGGGGAUCAAACAGGAUUAGAUACCCGUGUAGUCCCU
rnacentral:rRNA from 1 species